rnacentral:tRNA from 1 species
UAGCCUGGUGGUUAAGGCUUUGGAUCGUCAAUCCGAAGACGCCGGGUUCGAAUCCCGU